rnacentral:rRNA from 1 species
AUGGCCACCUCGGUGCUCCACCACCUCGCCGGCGUGGGCCAGACCAACCGCAACCCGAUCCUUUCGCUGCCGUCGUGCGCCACGCGCCUGCGCAUCAACCCUGCCUGCUUCGCGAUGCCGGAGGACGCCGGCGCCAGGGACGCGAAGCGGAGGAACCGUUGCCACGACGAGCCGUCACGUUCGCCAGUCGUUAAGCGCCGCCGACGUGGCGACGCGCGCGUCGUGCCCCCGCACACGUCGAGGAAGAGGGAGACCGUGAAGCACCACCGCGACGAGGAAUCAAAAGAAUCCAAGCGCCGACGACACUAUGAUGACCGGAGGGAUACGUCUUCAUGCUCGCGCAGCUCUUUCGGUGGUAGGAUGCCGGCGACGGGCGGGGAGGUUCACGCGGCCAGCCGCGAAGACCCUCGCCGCACGGCCAAGAACCUGGAGCGCGAGCGCGCGCGGGAGACCACCAAGGGAAGAAACCGCUCUCUGUCUGAGCCGAGGGCUAUGCCGGAUCCCUGCGCCGCGCAAGGGCAACGACACCUGCCGGUCGCGGCUAUCGCAAGACCACGUGCCGUUUCUCUUGACGUUCGGCCGCCACAGGAGUACACGGAGAGUUUCGAGGAGGCCAAGCUGCGAAGGAUGGAGAUCCAGCGGAAGAGGGAGGAGGCCCGCCGGGAGAUGGACAAGGUGGUGCAGACCGUCUACUUCAACGAUCCAUACAUUUCUCCCCUGGAUAUGUUCAAGCGUUGA